AUGGUCUUCAUUCUUAUCUCUGUUUCCCAGGGAACAGGUUUCUCUAUGGUCAUUAAACAAAAGGGAAUGACCAGCCGCAGGAACUUCACCAAGUACUGGAUACCACACCUGCUUUUCCAAGUCAGAUACAACCAUCUCCAUUCUAAACAGUCUACAUCUUUGAAGGACUGUGGCAGACCCAGGCUGGGGAUUAGUCACUGGGGUGACUCACAAACAGCAGCUUGCAGCGCCCAGAGGAGGCUCCCAUUUACAACUGAAGUCUGCCCUCUACUGGUCACAAGCAGCCCAAACCCACACCACAAAGCCACUGAAGAGUUUGCUUCUAAAAUCGUUUCUUCUCCAGGAACAUUUUGGAAAUUGCUACAAUUUAUUUAGCUAGAGAAAUACAAAGAAAUGACAUCUUCUGAAAAGUGUUCCUCUUUAAUUUUUUACUUUUUGAUGUUUUUAGGCUUUUUCCUUUUAUUUGACAAUAGCAGAACUGGAUCAGUUUCAGUUAUAUAGAAAUAUAACUUUCAUUUGUGAUAAAUAACCAUUAUUAUUAUCACACUGCCCAGGCACUUCUGCUCCUAUUGACUCAUGAGUCACUAAAAUGCUUUCGCAUGGUAGAAAUGGACAAGGGCUGUUCAAGAUAGAAGGUACUACAAUGUAUGGGCUGUCAACCGUCCAGUAGUUUUCCAGUGGUAGUUUGUAGACUGAGUGUGAGUAAAGAAAGACCCAGAGAUAGACUCUCCUCAAGCUCUGUAGGGUAUCCAUUUGCCCUGUUCAAAGGCUAUGUGGCAUCAGGCAUCUGGGGAUCCCAAGCAGACAUGACAAUCCUUUCUUUCUCUUGCUUCCACAAGGAGGGCACUCUGGCCCAGGAAGCAAAUGCAGGAGAACAUGAAAGGUGAGUGAGAAGGAAGCCAGAGCCUGGGGAGACCACAAGAUAGUGUGAGCAAAAGGCUGAACCCAUGAUGAAAGGAAAAAGCUAGGGGAGGGAAGGUGGGUAAGAGAAAGAAACAGUGGACAAGGGCAGAACAGAGGACUAAAGAAGUGGCUCCAUUUUUCCAAGGGCCAUUGCUACUUUCUGCAAUGCAGGUCACUGUAAGAAUCUAUUUAGUUUUUAGUUAACAAAAGAAGGGAAUCCUUUCUGAUGUUCCAGAGUCCUUGACAAGAGAUGGUUCGGGUUUUUAGGGGAACAAGGACUCCUUUCUGUGAGCAUACAUCCUAGCCAGAGGUCUGGAAAUCUGCCCCCUCCCUCAAGGUGAUCCUCAAAUACAGCCAGAGUGGGGGGCCCACUGCCCACCCCAGGGUCACCCUCCCCCAAAGGGUCUGCCUACCCCUGUCAGUCUGCUCCUCAGGGCUGCAGAAGCCUAGGAUCAGGGUGGAACAGAGAUCCCUGUGUCCUGAUCUUGCUCUUCCCCUCCAUUUCCCUCUUGCCUCCUCCCUCACCUCUGUCCCUGGUCCUCUGGACUCAAGUUCUCUCCUCCCACGUUGCCCCUCUCUGGACUUUGUGACUCAAAAACUCAAGCACUUUAGGAAAAACAGCGCUCAGUGUAUUCUUAGGCGUGGGUGCUGCUGCCCCUUUAAAAUCCACCAUCGACAGAGUGUGGGGGUUGGGGGGAAGCGGGGAGGAAGAAAGAGAGGCAGGUCUUCUGUCUUUCUUCCCGAGAUAAAGGUUAUUCUUAGCAGUAAGAUCGGCUUGGCAUUUGGGGAGAUUUGUGUUUCUCUCCUUCCCGUCCCAGGAGUUUUGCACAAUGCAAUUCCUCUUCUUUGUGCGGGGAAGAAGAUGAACAGGGAGAAAGAGAAGGGAAAAAAGAAGGGCGCGCCAUCACUGUUGCCCUCGUAGGCAUUUCCCAGGACUUACUUUGGAAAGCUGGUCUAGUUGGUCAGAACUGGGCAGGAAAGUGCCCUCACUCCAUCCCCAGAAGGUCAGUUUAAUUCUAACGGACACUUGAAGUGAGAAGACUAAAGGCCAAAUAAACUCCCUAAAGGCCUUUCCA
ensembl:lncRNA